UACGUAGGGUGCAAGCGUUAAUCGGAAUUACUGGGCGUAAAGCGUGCGCAGGCGGUUUGGUAAGACAGAUGUGAAAUCCCCGGGCUUAACCUGGGAACUGCAUUUGUGACUGCCCGGCUAGAGUGUGUCAGAGGGGGGUAGAAUUCCACGUGUAGCAGUGAAAUGCGUAGAUAUGUGGAGGAAUACUGAUGGCGAAGGCAGCCCCCUGGGAUAACACUGACGCUCAUGCACGAAAGCGUGGGGAGCAAACAGG
rnacentral:rRNA from 1 species